UACGUAGGUGGCAAGCGUUAUCCGGAAUUAUUGGGCGUAAAGAGCGCGCAGGCGGUCUUUUAAGUCUGAUGUGAAAGCCUUCGGCUUAACCGGAGUAGUGCAUUGGAAACUGGGAGACUUGAGUGCAGAAGAGGAGAGUGGAACUCCAUGUGUAGCGGUGAAAUGCGUAGAUAUAUGGAAGAACACCAGUGGCGAAAGCGGCUCUCUGGUCUGUAACUGACGCUGAGGUUCGAAAGCGUGGGUAGCAAACAGG
rnacentral:rRNA from 1 species